UCAUGUGUCCAUAAGAGUUUGUUCCAGAACUCAAGAUUCUAAUGUACUUUUUAUAAAACCAGGCCAUUCUGUUUUUGAGGCUUACCAGUGUGUAUCUUGCAGGGAACUCUCUGAGGUUAUGCUUACAUUGUUUCAUUUCAAAUCCAGUGUGUUGGAGCACAGUUUAUACAAAGUAUAUAUAAAGCUGUGGACUUGUGCAGCACACCUCAAGCCACUGGGCCUGGUUACAGGGACUGAAGCAGCAAGAUUUUAUUCAGUUGUCAAGUCUUGCCUUGCUGAACUACAUCCUGAGAAACUACAAAAUCUACACCUUGUCCAUCCUUCAAACCCUCAGCCUUUGAGAUGACUCAAGGAAACCACGUGUCUUCCCAAGCUCAUGAUAAGACCCAUUAAGGAACGAUGGACAAGCACUGAGGCUGACCAUGGGCCUGACCAGUCCAAAUGAUCAGUUGUCAAUUUAUUCUGGACUAAAGUAAAAUGGCUUUGCAUCAUAUUUCUAUGUACUCAUUCUCUAUAUCAGUGGUUCGCCAACUGUGAAUCAAGAGCCACUGGUAUGUCAUGGGAGAGGUUGAAGUGUGCUACAUGAUGACACAUGAAAAAUAUGACAUUCUGCAAAUAUGAGAUUCUACGACAUUCACUCCAGUCAAAUACUACAUGUUUACACUGCACUGUAAAAAGUGCAGUGAAAAGGUGGUUGUUUUGACAUGCGUUUGAUUCCACUCCACCACAGACUGAUGUAAAGGAAGAAAUAUUACUUCACACAUCUUUUACCACAAAAAAACAUGUUACUCUUGCAUCAAAAAUCCCAGUGUCUAAAGUAACAGUUAACACAGGAAGCUAAAACGUUAUGGCAACAUAGAAAUCUACAGUUCAUGCUUUUCAAAUAUGUUUUUACACCUCAUUUC